AUAUAUACCAUCAAUCAGCUUGAAUCAUAAUCUAGAUAGAGAUAGGAAAUGAGAAAUAGAAAGAGGGAAGAAAUGGUGAAGAAGAAAAGAAUGUCUAUACAUAUAUAGAAACACGUAAAGGUUGUAUCUAUUGAUGUAUGUAUAUGUCAGAAGUUACGACAGGAUUAAUAAUUUGCAUUGCUUUCUCUCUCGUAUUAGCAGAAAAGGAGCAAGUCCAUGGAGAGCUAUAUAUAAAAAUAACUCUCGGAUCUAAACCUAGAGAGAGAAAAUUGGAAGAGUUAUCUAGAGAGAGAAAAAGAGAAAACGUUUAUGGCGUGUGAGUGUAUAAUACCACAUGAAAACAUUGGCAAGGAGAGAGAUUGAGAGUGGAGUUAAUUAAAUGAGGGCCACUCAACUCUACCAAAAGUUACAACUUGCUCACUGAAAAUUAAAUGAUCAUUCAAAGCUCAUUAAAAUAUUUAAUAGUUUACCCAUCUAUCACUAUAGUCAUUGCCAUCGAUACAGGUUGACAAAUAUUUUUACAUGGCAGAUGAAAAAAUGACGUGGCAUACAAAAUGGGUGAAUCGUACCACUACAUCAGAAAUUUGUAUUUUAUAAAUAAUAAUAAUAAAUAUUAAAUUAAAAAAUGUUUCUUCUCCCAAAUCACGUCAUUCCUCCUUAGACUUGGAAGCUGAAUAACUGAAUAAGGUGCCGCCAUGACCACGCCCUACCUCUGAAGCCUUGACGACGAUUCAACCUUCAAAAACCAACUCAAAGUUUUGCAAUAUUUUAUGGAUUUUAUCAGGCCCUAAUUUCAAUAGCAAAUGAAAAAAGAUUUGACAUGGGAAUUAGAAAGAGAAUUAUUGGGGACUGAUGAAUACAGUGCAACUCUUGAGAAAAGAUGUUAAAUUGAUAAUAACGGUUCUAGAGGCUCAAGAUUCCCCAAGAGGAGCGCCACCAAUAUUUUACAGAAAUGGAUUGAGAAAGGCAACGAAAUCGCCAUCUUUGACUAAGCCCUAAGAAAAUCCCAUCGUUAUCUGAAUUGGGACUAAAAAAAUGUUGGGAAUCAUGAUCCUAGUGAAUAUUGAUUGUGCAGAGAUUAGCAACAAUGUUGCACAAGUCGUUUUACAAACAACAAUUUAUGCUAACGUGGAAAGAUUUAAGGAUUUCGUUUGCCACAUUAUCUUUUCAUCUGCCAUGUGGAACUUUUUUGCCAGUUGGAAGUGACAAUAGUGAUGAAUGAGUAAAAUGAUGAAUACUUCAAUGAGCAUUUGGUAACUUUUAUAUUUUCGGUGAACAAGUGAUUUUUAGUGGUCACUCAUUUACAGUCUGUUUGGGAGGAAUUUUUUACCUAAAAAAAUUAAUUUUUUGACCGUUAUUUCACUAUUUUAGUAGUAAUUUUUGACUUCUUCUCUCACAGGUGGACCACACUUUUCUUCUAACGAACAAAAAAUCAAUUCUCAAAAUCCUUCCCAAACGGGGCCUUAAUUAUGUGUUUGUUUGAUAAAGAUUUUGAUAAUUGAUUUUUUGACCGUUAGAGAUAAAAUGAAUCCUACUUGUGAGAGAAAAAUUCAAAAAUGACAGUUGAAAUAAUAAAAUAAAAGUAAAAAAAUUGAUUUUAAUUGAAUUAAUAGCUACACUAAACAAGCUCUAACUCCAUAGAGUGUGACUGCUAACUGAUCUAUGGUGGCGCGUGGGUGACAUGAAAUAGGAGUUGUGAUUGGGAAUAGUGUGAGUGUGGGGGAGCACAAGUGAAUCAGUGAUGACUGCAAAUUAUUGGAGAGUAUACACGCGCUGUGAUUGGCGUGGGACUUUGUUCACUAACGGAAUUCCAGAAACAAUUUUACCAGCGAAAAUCUAGUAAGCAUUUGUUUCAUACAUAUUAAAAUCUUAAUUAUAAUUUAAGUCAAAAUCAACAACUAAUUCUAACAAUAUAUUUCAUGAAAUUCACAAUUUUUCAUUUACACAUUUCAUCAAUUUUUAUAAAAAUAUAAUAAGAUUUUAAUUUUAAUACCCACUAAACAAAAGCUAAAUGUGUAUAUAUGAAUAAGAAACUUAAUAGACAUUUCAAAUCAAAUUCAAGAAUUAAUUUUAAAUAUGAGAUACACAAGUUUUCAACUCAUACUUAAUCAAUUUGAUAAAAAAAAAAAUUACUAAAAAUAUGAUUUUCAUCUACACUAAAUAUGAACUUAAUAUCAUUAAAAUUUUCAAACUCAUUUUCAGUCACAUGUUGUCGUAAUAAAAUAUUUUACACAUAAGUCUUUUUUUUUAACUUGUUAACCAUACAUUUUCUAAAAAAUCAAUAUUCCAAAACACCUUUUCCAAAAAACACUCGUUUGAAUGGUUUUCAAACGGUGGCUAAUAAAAAUAUUAUGUAGUAAAGUGUAUUAUUGGUUUUGGUGAAUACGUUGCUAGAUUUAUAUGUUACAUGAGAUAAUAAAUUUGAAAUUUUCCACAGUAAUUAUAAUUAAAAUUUUUUUUUUGCCAUUUAGUUUUGACUAUGUUCUGGAAAUUUUUUAGAAAAUUAAAAGAAAUUUUAGGAGGAAUACUGGAGGAGACACGAGAUAUAUAAAUAAUAAUGAAUAAUAGGGAUGACUGUCAAUUUUCUAAAAGUAUUUCUCAAAUAAAGGCUUAGGAUCCGCUUGCAAGGGCAGACCCAUUAAAGGGCCAAUAGGUGCAAUUGUACCCAUUGGACCCUUAAUUUUUUACAUUUACAAAGUAUUCCACAUAAUUUUUUAGUCCAUAAUUUUAAGUUUUUAACUAAUAAUUUUUCCAUAAUUUUGUCUCGUCUCCACUAAAUCAUGUUUCUGGGUCCGCCCUUGUCGGUUUGCUCUUUUCUUAAAAAUUAUUUACGUAAGACUUUUCCUCGCGCUACACCUUCAACUUUCAAUACUCAAUAACAGUUUAAAAUAGAAAAAGCAAGCUAAAAUAUCAUUGUAUAUCAUAUUUUUCUAUUGCAUUUGUACUAUUUCUCUCCUUUCAAAAAUUAUAAAAUAAUUUCAGCUUUUAAAUAAGGGAAAUUGAAACAGAGGUCCCAAACCUUUCAAAUAUUUAUAGAUUUUUUUCUAACUUUUUAAUCGUUGCAGCCAUCAUCCCGAAUCUUUCAAACUGUAGUAGUUGAGAGACAAAUAGACGAAUUCCAUUCAUAUUUCUAUUACUUGACAAAAAAAAAAUUGAGUUUGACAUUUUUUUUAUAAUUUCAAAAGUAUAAACUAGUAAUAUCGCAUUCAACAAUUAAAAUAAUUAUAUUAAAAAAACUAAAAAAAAGAAGAUAAAGACCGUCAUCUUUUUCACGUACCCCCACUCCUCGCAUCCUACUCAUAACCCUAAAAAAUCAAAAUCACAAACACCACCACACACCGCUCGACAACACAACCAGUCAACCACCCUAGAACUAUCACCAUCGCCUCACCGAAAUUUAAAUAACUUAUACCAAACCACAAUUUUAGCCCAAAAAAAAAAAAAAAAAAAAACAAAGCUUAAAGCUUCCUAUUUUGCCCUUUCUCCUUAUGCUUAUAUUUGUUUUCUUCUUCAUUUUUAUUUAGAUAAUAGUAAAUUAUUUAAAUUUUAAAAUAAUCUUUUUUUACAUAGUGAUUUUAUCUUCUCAUAUUUUUGUGGAUUUCGAUUUCUCAUAAAAAAUUAAUGAAUUAAAAUUGAUUUAUUACAAAAAUGAACUAAAACGAAAUCCAAGCCCCUAACGUUUGAUGGCGGAUUGAUUGAAAAUGUUAUGAUAACGUUAAUUUGAUCUUCUAAUAUAAAUAUGAAAAAUUGGAGCAAAUGGUCCCAAAGUUUUGCUCUUUCAAAUAUUUCAAAUGUUUUUUUGCACAAAUGGUCAUUUUGGACGAAGGCCAUCCAAAAGGGUCGGUAGUUUUGUGUGUAUAAUGUGCCUUUAUUGUGUUUUUGUUUCAAGAGACAAUUUGAUGAAAUUGUCUCUUGAAAUAAAAACAAAGACAAUUGCAUUGCAUGCACAAAACUAAUGGUCUUUUUUUAUUGAAUCCGUCAAAAGUUUGCACCAAGAAUGAAAAAGUUUGAUAUCAUUUUUGUCGAAUUUUGAAUUGCUUUGACACUAAAUGCAAUUUGGGCAAGGUUUUGAGAUCAUUUGCUCUAAUGUUUUUCCUAUUAAUAUAGUACAAUCGUCAAGAGUACAAGAAAAACUUAAAAUUAGAGAAAAUGCUAUUUAAUCUAGCGUUAUGAAAUAUUUAAUGAAUUUUCAAUUAUCUUUGUUAAAUUAUUCUAGAACAUUAAUUUCUGCUGACUAUUUAUUAUUUUUUGAGUCAUAUUUGAAAAAAAAACACAUUUUUUAUUUUUUAAAAUUUUAUAACAAUAUUUGUAAUGGUAUUUUUAACUGAAGUGGUAUCAUCUAUAUCAAAAGUAUGGAAAAAAAAAACAGAUAUUAAUAAGUUAUAAGAAAGAAAACAAUAUAAUUUAGAUUUAAUAAAACAAGAAUUUCAAAAUAGUGUAAAGUGGUAAUAUUGGAAAUAAAUAUUUACUUUCAAUGGAGGUUUCUGAAAUUUAUAAAUUUAAAGUGGAGGUCUCCACAAUUUUCAAUGUAAUUUGAUCCAAAGUUAAUAUAUUGUAUUGUUUAAUUCUCCACGACAUUGUGCACCAAAUAUAUUCCUACUAGAGAUGGCAAUUUGUUCCCAAAAUCCUAAGUACACCCUAAUUAUUUAGUUAUUUAUAAAAAAUAUAUAUAUUUUUAAAAAAUUAUUUUAGCCCAACUUUUUAAGUCGAAGCCUCAAACAAUCAUUCAAGGAUUAGCCCCAUUCUCAAACUACUCCAAAUUUUACAACAAAAUAAAAUAAAAUAAAAUAAACAAUUAGACAGUGAAGGGACGAGUGGUCGAUGAUCGUCCCGCCCAGCUGAGCCGCCCACCCGUUCCUACCUUAAGCAUAGAUCUGGAUGGUAAAAUUCACUUGCACCAUAUCUUCUAAGUUAAAGUUCGUUCAAGCAAUAAAUGUGAAUAUAGUGUAAAAACAAAAGUUAAAAAGCAAAAAAAAUAAAAAAAAAAUCCGCAAUAUAAAAUCAUCUUAUGACACAUCAUUAACAUACUCGAAAGUCACUCAUAGAUUCCUUAAAUCAACCUAUUUAAUACAUCAGUUGGUCCAACAGAUUAUAGACCAUUAAUUAAUUAAUUAAACUCAAAUCUCAUCUUCUUGACAUGUCCCGUCAACUUAGCUAAAGUUAAUAAUGUCCAUUCACAUCAACAUUGCUUUAUUACGGAUAUAUAUUAUUGAAAUUUGACAAUGAAUAUGAAAAAGCAAAAGUUUAUGCCGACAGAAUAGUUCAAGUAACAACGGGAUUUUUCUUUAUUUUUCGAUGAGAAAAUUUACAUUACUUCCUGUUUUAGCCUAUACGUAUUUCCUUCUACGGUAUAAUUAAUUGAGAUGUGCAUGUAACACAUCCACUAGCACUUCCUUCUAGAAACUAAGUAUGUGUUUGAUAGCAAUUUUUCACUUCAAAAAACAAUUUUUUAAUCGUUAUUUUACUAUUUUAGUCGUUAUUUUUAACUUCUUCACUUACAAGUGAAAUCCAUUUUUUUAUCUAAAAGUCAAAAAAUCAAUUCUCAUAAUCACCACCGAACAAAUCCUAAGUAUUUCACCAAUUUGAGUGAACGAGACUUGUUAUCUAUAAACUCAAAUCACUUCAUUAGGGACUUAUGUAACAUAGUAAAUUUGAGCAGCAAUAAAAUGGAAUGUUAAGAAUCCGUUUGUUAUGACUUUUGAGAAGUUAAAAGGAGAUUUUUGAGAUCGUAAGGCUAUUUUUAAACUUGUUUGAUUCAUUUUAUAAAAAUGCUUCUUCAAGUUAGCAGAGUUUUAGAGGACGUUGAUCCAACAUGAUUUUCUUCAAAGGCUUUUGUAGAAAUUAAUUUUCAACGACAUUUAAGGUAACUUCCUCAUAAAAUACUUUUAUAAGAAGUAAAAAUAAAAGCCAUGUCAAAUAGACUAUUAUCGUGAAUUGCAAAAUCCUAUAAAUCAUUGAGUUUUUGUAAGAAAUUGCGCUCAAAGACAUUAUACUAAAGAGAAAGCAUAUCCAAUAUGGCUCCAUAUAAAAACUCUUUUAAAAGAGAAGCCCUAUCAAAAGGUCAUUUAGUGUGAAUUGCAAAAUCCCGUAAAUUAUCGAGUUUUUUGUACCAAAUUGCACUAUAAUACAUUAUGCUGAAGAGGAAGCUGACUGAAUAUGACUUCAUCUAAAAAUUCCUUUUGAAGACAAGCUUUUAGAAAUUAGUUUACAAACAUUAAUUAAGGUAGCUUGCUCAAAAAACUCUUCUACAAGAAGUAAAAAAAUAAAAAUAAAAAAUCCCACCGAACAAGCCUCUAGUAUAAAUUGGAAAAAUCAACCUUGGUUUGAUUUCCAUUUUGAGGGAAAUAAUGUAUUUUCAAUAGUAGAUUGAUGGAAAAUGUGCGGUUAAAAAUUAAAGAAAAAUUUUGAAUUUACGUGUAAUAUUAUUUUAUUGAAAAAUGUAAGAUUGAAAAUGAAUUUUUAAAAGAAUGAGAAUUAAACAAGGGCCCAGUAAAUCAUCAAAGUUUUGAACAAAAUUGCGCUCGAAGACAUUACGUUAAAAGACACUUCUGUCUCAACUUCACAUACUAGAAAAUAUUAGUGAUUCCAUGUUACCAAGUGAUUUGUAAUGAUCACAAAAGGUCAAGGGGCCAACAUAUGCUGGCCAAAUCUUGAUAAUGCUCCACUUUUUUGACGUUCUGCUGGGUAUUGAGGGCAACAAAUAUGAAACCACAUUAUUAUAACGUCGUAAUUUACAUUUUUGGGUUGACCAAAGAGUGUUCAAGUCGGCAUAGAAAUCAGUCACACGUUCUGUCCUAGCUAUUAAUUUCUCAAUAGAAUUUUAGCCCCCAUUUUUUAUGUUUGGAAUAAUAUUUUUUUUAAAAAUAUGUGGUUGAAAAAGAAUGAAAAACUUUCAAUUUACGUGUAAUAAUAUUUUAUGAAAGAUUGUGGGGUUGAAAAUAGAAGAAAGGAAAAAAAUGAUAGAGAAUAGGAACCAAACGAGGGCUUAAUUAUCUCAUCAAAAAAACUUUUCUGUCAGAAAAAUGGCUGACAGAGGCUUUGACAUCCUCUCACAAUCGUCGAGUCCCGCAUGAAUGAACAACUGGGAGGAAGAAGUGGCCCCACCUCCAAAUGUGUGUGUCGAUCAAGGCCUCUAACAUGUAUUUUUUGGCAGAGAAGCUCAGUCCUUAUCUCAUUUUCAGUUUCUUGAAGAAAGGGCGUAUAGCGUAUUCAUCACAUUUUAAUGAGAAAAUUAGAUCUAUCUCUCAAUUAAGCCCCUGUUUGAGCCUCAUUAAUUUUCAUUCUAUUACAUUUCAUUUUUCUCUAUUCUAUUUUUAACCACACAAUUUUUCAUAAAAUAAUAUUAUACGUAAAUCGAAAACUUUUCAUUUUUUUUCAACCACUCAUUUUUCAAAAAUAUAUUAUUCCACCCAUUAAAUUUUUCACGUAAUGGGAAUCAAACAGGGGCUAAAUGAAAAUUCAAGUUUUUUUUCUUAAACUAAUUUCAAUCGCACGUCACUUCCCCCAAAUUAACAAUAACAAAAUCUCGAAACCUUCCACUUUCUCCCUGUAUCUUGCCCCCGUCGCCCCCGCUUUUUCUCUGUAUCAGCAUUUCUCUCUUGGAUUUGAACAGGCCGGCCCCACCACUCCCACUUUCUCUAUCUCUCUAUUAACCCCACCAGUCAUACGAAUUGUCGAUCCCUUUCACUGUGUAAAACCGGAUUUCAAAGUUUAGAUCCUUUACACAUCGCGAAAGUUAUUGCUGAACGCAGUCGUCUACCACCUCCGACCCAACUCUAUGGAUGUAGGUGGGUCAUGGGGCUAGCUGAGCUGACAUUUUCCUGUGCAAGCCAUUAGCUGGAAAGCACGAGUUGGCUCGCAGCUUCCACGCAAGUGAAAAAAUAAAAUUUUGGAUGAAAAAAAAAAGUUAUAAAAUAAAGGAAAAAGGGAAGAAAGUGAAUAAGAUAAUAGACUUGUAUGUAUUUUAUUGUUUAUCAAAGUUCCAUAUUUAUAAAGAAUAAUUAAGUAUGCACUCAUUAUAAACAUUAGAACUAUGGGUAUUAUUAUCAUUCACUAAUAAAUAUAUAAUUUAUAAUACUCUCCAAUUAACUACACAUUACAAAAUAUCUACCUAUUUAAAAUCUUGUCAAGAAAAUGUAUAAUUGUUCCCCUUGGUUGCAAUAUUUGAAAAUUCUUGUUUUAAGUCAUCGAUGUCCUGUACGUCAGUGUUUACAAUAUUACAAUUUUGGUGAAAUAUGUUUCACGUUGUAUUGUUAAAGAUUUCAAGCAAUAUUGUCAUCAUAUAUGAUAUUUAUCAAUCUUUGUUUGUCUUUAAUCAAAUGAUGAUUUGUUGAAAAAUAAAUUUCGUUAUUGAUCUAUUCGAUUAACAAAUAAUUUGUAACAUAUAAGAAUAUUAUUAUAAAGUUAAAUAUUUUGUAAAUCAUGGGCAUCAUUACACUGACACUAUUACCCCAUCGCCCACAUUUGUGUAAUGUAACCCCCCUGUACUUUGAACUUCCUCUAGAGAAGCCCGUACUCUGGCGACGAAGUGUCUGCACAAACUCUUCCUUGGGCAAAUUCAUAAUCUGCAGAGUAAAAUAAUCCCCAAUAAAAGUUGUUCUUUGGAAAACAACAGGGUCAAGUGGAAAAAUGCUCAACUCAAGAACAAUUCUAAGCAACCUGGCUAAGUUCUUCUUCAUAAUCACUGACGUUGAAAUUUAUAUCAGCAUUAAUUCCACGAAACUUUAUUGCAGCACGAUCAUAUGCCCUGGAGUUAAAAUUCAAUCGCACACAUAUAUAUUGCCAUUCUAUCAACCAAAAUGCUCUCAACUUAUUGAAACUAAUGUUAACUCUCAAUCAACGAAAAGAUCUUACUUAGCUGCAGCAUGUGCAGUGUCAAAUCCUCCUAUGAGUUGAAGUUUCAUUUGCAAGCAGCAUCACAAAAAUGUCAGCUACACUUUAUAAACCAACGCCUCAACAAUCACUAGCACACAAUAGGAAAUCAUACACAGAGUAAAAGUUUUAGCUCCUUACCCAAAUAAACUUGUUUUCCAGAAUCCCUGCAAAAGUGACGUGUAAAGGCAUUUUAAAAUAUAUAUUAAAGAUAUUUGAUUGCGAUUAAAAUCCAUAAAAGGCUGUGACAAUUGAAUGCAGGGUACGUACCAAACUCCUACCCAGCUAUAUCCAUAAAUGAACUCAAAAUUUGACAACCAAUAUGUAAGGUGUAAUCUAUCAUGCAGUUUGAUUCUUAUAAUUAUAUAACUAAAAAUAAUGCAUCACGAUGUGCAGAAAAAUGCAUCAACUAAAACAAGAAGCUAUAACAUUAUGAACAUUUAUUACACUAACCAAAUGUGAGACUCCCAUCUACCGGUCCUGCGAUAAAAUGUGACUCCACGGUAUUGAGAGCUGCGAGACCUCGGUCCUCUACGACUCUUCUUAAUCUGCUGCUUCUGCUGAGAUAUUGUCCUUUGAGCCGCCACUCCACCACAAUUCCCUGAAACGUCGGACCAUUGACAAUGCCGUGCCGCCGAUGUCCCUUCGGCGGUCACAGGGAAGAACUCCUUCGUCACAGAAACGCCACUCUGAUACUCACUCUCUUCAUAAUCACCAUUCCCCUUCCAUAUAUCGAAACCGAUGAAUUGGUUAUCACAAGAGUCCCCGUCACCGGCACUGCUUGUGGUAUCCACGUUGGCAACAGAGGAAUUAUAACUGCCGGCAUUCUCCAUCUGACCCCCGGAGCCAUCUAGAUGCUUUUCCAACACCAUUUCGCCUAAAUUUGUGAUCGAUUCGUUAGCAUCGCUAGUCAAAUUAAGGUCCAACAUCACUCAGCUCCUCGAAUAUCAACCUGAUUUUCCAAUUAUUUUCACACUACUCUGUGCACCUAUCUGUUCAUAUAUACCAUCAAUCAGCUUGAAUCAUAAUCUAGAUAGAGAUAGGAAAUGAGAAAUAGAAAGAGGGAAGAAAUGGUGAAGAUGAAAAGAAUGUCUAUACAUAUAUAGAAACACGUAAAGGUUGUAUCUAUUGAUGUAUGUAUAUGUCAGAAGUUACAACAGGAUUAAUAAUUUGCAUUGCUUUCUCUCUCGUAUUAGCAGAAAA
rnacentral:lncRNA from 1 species